AUUACAUUGAUGAUUCUGUUAUUUAGGGAAAGGUCUUUUGAUUUUGGAUGGACAGAAGUGGUUUCAGCACCGUCGCCUGCUUACCCCUGGCUUUCAUUAUGAUGUACUUAAACCAUACACUAAACUGAUGUCUGAUUCUACGGUAGUCAUGCUGGUAAGUGGUUGGCGUGGCAAUAGAUCUGUGUACAGCAAGUAAAAAAAAACAUAAAAAACUC